rnacentral:lncRNA from 1 species
GGGCGCGGAUGCGAGACUGCGGCGCGAUGCUCCGGGGAGGCAGGCGACCCCAAGCGUCGGCGUCUGGUCCACUCCCGGGUGUCUGAGGGACGCUGUGUCAUUUGUAGCAGAACAGAAGCAGAGGACGGCCUGUGCAGACCCUGGCACGGCCCAGGCAGGCGGCCGGCUCUCCUGCGGCCGCCGUGCUCAGUGCCACCCGCCCACCAUGAUCCCGGCAUCGAGUGGACGCGGGCAAGCGCUUUCGGAAAGAAGACAUAACGGAACGAAGGCUGCAGACACAGACACGCCGCGAGGGUAGAGGCUGGAAGGGUCCCCAGGCCAGGUGCCCUCAGGGAACGUGGCUCCCUCCCUCCCCGCGGUCCCCAGCC